rnacentral:rRNA from 1 species
GACGAACGCUGGCGGCGUGCUUAACACAUGCAAGUCGAACGGAAAGGCCCUGCUUUUGUGGGGUGCUCGAGUGGCGAACGGGUGAGUAACACGUGAGUAACCUGCCCUUGACUUUGGGAUAACUUCAGGAAACUGGGGCUAAUACCGGAUAGGAGCUCCUGCUGCAUGGUGGGGGUUGGAAAGUUUCGGCGGUUGGGGAUGGACUCGCGGCUUAUCAGCUUGUUGGUGGGGUAGUGGCUUACCAAGGCUUUGACGGGUAGCCGGCCUGAGAGGGUGACCGGCCACAUUGGGACUGAGAUACGGCCCAGAAUCCUACGGGAGGCAGCAGUGGGGAAUAUUGCACAAUGGGCGGAAGCCUGAUGCAGCAACGCUCCGUGCGGGAUGCUGGGCUUCGGGUGGUAAACCGCUUUCUACGGUGCCGAAGCGUGAGUGACGGUAAUGGGUAAAGAAGCCCCGGCUAACUACGUG